UUUUUUUUUUUUUUUUUUUUUUACAGAAAUAACUUUAGAAGCCAACCACAUUCAUGAUAAAAAGACUAGGUUCCAAGUUCCAUCAAAUUAAAAAAAAAAUCUACCAGUAAUCAUAUGAAAGAAUAGGAAAUCAGAUGCAAACAAACUAUAGGAACGAUUGAGCAUCCCUGCCACAAAUGCACAUGUACGAUAACGAAUGUGCAUGCACACAUUUAUAAACAUGUUAUCCACAAAAUUUAGCAGUCCAUCAAGAUAGAGAUCUGGCAAUCUCAUCAAGGCGACGAUCCAUGAUGUGCGAUACAGUUUCAAGGAAUGCAACUUCGCCUGUGCCAGGAAGAACAGAAUCCUGUGCUUCAUGGACAAUCUCCUCAAUAACAGAUACCUUCUUCAAGGUCUCUCUGCACAUUAUGCUUCCAAUAGCAAAAGGUGUGAGCCCCAUCUCCACCCCCUUCUUCAGAAGCAUGGUGGAGAUGCG
rnacentral:misc_RNA from 1 species